UACGUAGGGGGCAAGCGUUGUCCGGAAUGACUGGGCGUAAAGGGUACGUAGGCGGCUAGGUAAGUCAGAUGUGAAAGGCAUGGGCUCAACCCAUGUAAGCAUUUGAAACUGCUUAGCUUGAGUUAAGGAGAGGAAAGUGGAAUUCCUGGUGUAGCGGUGAAAUGCGUAGAUAUCAGGAGGAAUAUCAGUGGCGAAGGCGACUUUCUGGACUUAUACUGACGCUGAGGUACGAAAGCGUGGGGAGCAAACAGGAUUAGAAACCCCCGUAGUCC
rnacentral:rRNA from 1 species